rnacentral:lncRNA from 1 species
GUCAAAGAAGACAAUCAUGAAAGAUUAUAAAUGAUAUGAUUCCAUCUUAAUGCAGUGUUCAAAUGGGCAAUCUCUCUGUAGCCCUGGCUGUCUCGCAACUCUGUAGACUAGACUGGCCUUAACUAUAAGACCCAUCUACCUCUGCCUCAAAGUGCUGGGAUUAAAAGUGUGCACCACCAGGCCUGGCCUAAUUGUAUACUUAAGUGGAUGAAUUGUAUGGUAUGUAAAUUGUAUCACAAUGAAAUGUGUUUUUAAAGAUUUGUAAUUGGAGACAUUGGCUUCAAUGUGUUGUGUUUUUCCAGCAUUUGCUGAUGGCCUACUUGCUGCAGUUAUCAAGAACACUAAAAAUCCAAGGCUAUCCCUGGUCUCUUAACUCACAACUAAAUGAAUUCAAACACAUACAUAGGACCCUCAAAUUUGACACAUGAGCAAGUUCAAGCUGUCCUGCCAGAAAAGGAGACCAGGUGAAUGAGAUCUGAGUCAGCUCCUUUGUCCCAGGGAGGCUGCAGAUUGGCUAGACUAAUGUGUGACUGACCACUGAUGCAUGAAAGAGUCUCACAGAAGAACUUCUCUCAGAAGAUUCUAAGUUGCUGACUCUCAGAUAUAUAUUGUGAUCCUGUGCCAUGAUGGUGUCUCAGUUGGGCUGCAGAGACGAUGGCCACUGUUAACUCUGUCACCUGCUGACAUGGGCAUCAUGGUUUAUGUAAGUGCACUCUACAAUGCUUACAUAAUGACGAACUCACCCAAUGACACAUUUGUGAAUGCAGACAUCUCAUUAAGCAACACAUGACUGCAAGCUGACAUUGUAUGUUGUUAUGCAGGGAAAUUAGACUGUUUGAAUGAUUAAGACAAUCCAGUAAAGUGUUGUUUUGUCUGUGUGUGUGUGUGUGUGUGUGUGUGUGUGUGUGUGUGUGUGUGUAUGUGUGUGUGUGUGUGUGUGUCAGAGCUGAGGACUGAACACAGGGCUUGCACUUGCUAGGCAAGUGCUCUACCACUGAGCUAAA